GACGAACGCUGGCGGCGUGCCUAAUACAUGCAAGUAGAACGCUGAAGGAGGAGCUUGCUUCUCUGGAUGAGUUGCGAACGGGUGAGUAACGCGUAGGUAACCUGCCUGGUAGCGGGGGAUAACUAUUGGAAACGAUAGCUAAUACCGCAUAAGAGUAGAUGUUGCAUGACAUUUGCUUAAAAGGUGCAAUUGCAUCACUACCAGAUGGACCUGCGUUGUAUUAGCUAGUUGGUGGGGUAACGGCUCACCAAGGCGACGAUACAUAGCCGACCUGAGAGGGGGAUCGGCCACACUGGGACUGGGACACGGCCCAGAAUCCUACGGGAAGCAGCAGUAGGGAAUCUUCGGCCAUGGACGGAAGUCUGACCGAGCAACGCCGCGUGAGUGAAGAAGGUUUUCGGAUCGUAAAGCUCUGUUGUAAGAGAAGAACGAGUGUGAGAGUGGAAAGUUCACACUGUGACGGUAUCUUACCAGAAAGGGACGGCUAACUACGUG
rnacentral:rRNA from 1 species